GACGAACGCUGGCGGCGUGCUUAACACAUGCAAGUCGAGCGGUCCUUCUUGGAGUCUAGCUUGCUAAACACUAGGAAGGAUAGCGGCGAACGGGUGAGUAUCACGUGGGCAACCUGUCCGAAAGACCGGGAUAACAGUCCGAAAGGGCUGCUAAUACCGGAUACACUUCUCAGGGCGCAUGUUUUGGGAAGAAAAAGGUUGGUAACUUCCGCUUUCGGGUGGGCCCGCGCCCCAUUAGCUAGUUGGUAGGGUAACGGCCUACCAAGGCAACGAUGGGUAGCUGGUCUGAGAGGAUGGUCAGCCACACUGGGACUGAGACACGGCCCAGACUCCUACGGGAGGCAGCAGUGGGGAAUCUUGCGCAAUGGGCGAAAGCCUGACGCAGCGACGCCGCGUGAGCGAUGAAGGCCUUCGGGUUGUAAAGCUCUGUCAGAGGGGACGAUAAUGACGGUACCCUCAGAGGAAGCCCCGGCUAACUACGUGCCAGCAGCCGCGGUAAGACGUANGGGGCUAGCGUUGUCCGAAUUACUGGNCG
rnacentral:rRNA from 1 species